rnacentral:lncRNA from 1 species
AUAUAUUGACUUAAUGAGCAAUCAUUUUUAGCCUAAAUCGUAUUUUGCACUAAAACCGAUUUUGCAUAUUUUGAUUUGAUAGGAAUUUGAUUUUCUAGUAUUUUUAUUUGAAUCCAAAUGGGGGGUACUUCCUUAUUUACAUUGUAAACUUAAGUAAAUGGAGUAAUAUAAAAAUAAAUUAAAGUAAAAGUGAUGAGGAACUAGAUCGGAUAUCGCCAGCUCGGACUCCACUGAGAUUGAUUUGGCUAAGUGAAGACUGUACUGACGCUAAUGAUUUUCGCCACCUCAGAUGCCAUCGAGACCAUUACGGCUCAGUGAUGACGAACACGAGGCAUCUUUCCUACUCGGAUGCCAUCUAGACUAUUAUGGCUCGGUGAUUAUGAUCACGAGGCAUCUUGCUUGCUUAGACGCCACCAAGACCUUUAUGGCUCGAUGAAGAUAGUCAUGACACAUCUCGCCUGCUAGGAAGCCAUCGAGACCAUUAUGGCAUGGUGAUAACAGUCACAAGGCAUCUCUCCUGCUCUGACACCACAGAGACCAUUAUGGCUAGGCAAUGACGGUCACGAGGCAUCUUGCCUGCUCGGUGAUGACGGUCACAACACAUCUCGCCUGCUCGGAUGCCACUAAUACCAUUAUGGUUCGGUGAUGAUUGUAGCUAGGCACCAGAUUAGAUUUCAUCUAAGGGAGAUUCACUAUUAUACCCAAUAUGGGGGCCAAAAUUAUAAAAAUACCCUAUAUAAAAUGGACUUUAGAAACACACCCAAAGCCCAUUUACAACAUAACAAAAAAGCUUUUAACUUCUUAUAAAUUACAAAACUGCCAUCAAUUUCUUAAAACAAGCCCAACUCCAAAAUCUCAUAAAAAUACCCAAAGCACUCAAUAGGGCAUCAAAGUAAUUUAAUAAUUAAUAUUAAAUUCAAUAAGGCCAGCUAUCAUUUUUUGGGUUUUUUUUGGGUUUGUUUAUAGGAAUUCAAUUGUGUAGGGUUUAUUUAUAAUAUUAGUGCUAGAAAUGAGUAUAUCACUAAAUAUCUCUUCAUCUAAUCGGCUCGACCAAAACUCAUGUUACUUGUAAAAGUCCUCACCCAAAGAGUUGCUUUUUACUAAGGACUUGGUGGCUUCUAUUAACAUAGGUUGACCUCGCCUAAACCCCAAGUCUGAUUUACCCAAACAUCUCCAAUCACCCAGUAUAGUCGACCACAUAGCAUAGCACCAGGCAUCGCCGGGCACUAUGCAUACGUGAGCACCUGGCAUAUGUGAGCACCAGCAUCUCCAAGUCAGCUUCUACUGACAUUUCUCACCUCACCUCACCUGCUCCAGUCAAGGCCCACCAAUCAAGGAAAAUUCUACAGUGGGCUUGGCGCAUGGAUGCGCCCAUUGUUACAGACCAUUGGAUGAGUAGUUGGUGAUGUGGAGUUAUCCACACCGUUGAGUUAGCUACCGGAUAAAUCGGUUGUUGUAGGUAAAAAGAAAACAAAAACAAAAACUCUCCUUCAGUAGCAUUGGGUUUCUGUUUUCUCUCUCUUCCAGUUCGACUCCUUCCAAAAUCGCUCCUCUCCUCCUGUUGUGACGACGAGACAGCGCGACGAACACAACUCCUCUCCUCUCAGGUAUCUCUGUCUUUCUUCUCCCUAAUUGUCUCUCUCAUCUCUAUAUCUCAUGGUCUCUCAAUCUCCUUCCCAGGCUUCGUUUCAAAACCAAACCCAUACCAAAAAUCUCAGCCCCAAUUGAAACCCCCAUUUAGCUCGAUCCCUGCCGUCUAUCUCCCAAGAUAAUUUUAAUGAUUUAAGGUUUGAGUUUUCUAAUUUAUAUUGUAAGUUUUAGGUUUUAAUAUUGGGCUAUGGUCUCUGCAGGUUUUCAACUUUUUAAUUUGUAUUUGAACCAUUAAAUUGGAGACAAGGUGAGGAUUUCAUAUUAGUGUUGAACUAGAUGUAGAUUUGGUAAUGUUAGUUUAAUUUUGAGUUUACUGCUGCAUUCAUCAUUUUUUGGUUUUUUUUUUCUUUUCCAAUUGAUUUUUUAUUUUAUUUUUCUGAGUUGGUUCUUGUGUUUACAAGUUGCAUCUUAUUUUCAUAUUCGGAUUCCUGAAUGUGCUAUGAUGUCAUUCUAGUCUCUUUUUUUUCUUUUUCUUUUUCCUGGGCUCUGGAGUGUUGCUUUGUUUAGCCCGGAUUCUUCUUUUUUAUGUGGUUUUUUGCUUUUGUUUGUAGUUUUGGUCGUGUGGGAUGGGGGGUGUGAGGAUUUCUCAUCCUCCUGUAGCCCCAUUGAUUUAUGAAUAUCAUCUUUGGAAGCUUGUUAUGAUUGAUUUUUUUCUUCUUCUUGUCAGUAUUCUACUAAAUGCGGGUGAAGGUUGCCUCUUUUUUGGAGUUUUAAUGAAAGCUACCUAACAACCAAACAAUAAAAGCCUCUGUUAGUUGCUUUAGUUUCCUUUUAGUCUCUCUAAUUUUUUGCUGACCUUGUGCUUUCUCUGACUAACUGACAAUUGGAUGUUCACUUGGUGUUGUCCUGCAGAAAGAGUGCUGUAAUUUUCUAUGAAUUGCUUGAUUUUCAUUCAUCAUGUGUGCAUCUACAUAGGAAGCCCUGUUUAUUACCUCCUCUCUCAUGCUUACUAUCCUAGGAUUGUCUACCCUUCAUGUAUGUGAGUUUUAAAUUUUCAUCAUUAUAUAUGUUAUUAAACAUUAGAGAUUAUUUAAGGCAUCAUCUAUUAUCUGAAUUCUGCUUAGUCUUAGUUCCAUGUGCAUUAAUUAACUCUUUAAUUCAUACAUUUACAUUUUAGCAACUUGAUGUGAUUACUGUGGCUCAUACCAAAAAGGCAAUCUUAGGCUCAUCAAGGAAAGUCGAGCUUCCAAGUGACUUACUGGAUAUUAGAUCAUUUGGUUUAUUUCCCUAUCUUAUUAACAUUUUUGUAGUGCUGAAUAUUUAUUUGUAUUGGAUGUGAGAUUUCAAUUUGUUGCUUUAUAUAAUUAUUUAGAAAUUUAAUUAUUUCUUUGCACCUUUUGUUUACGAAGCUUUAAUUUUCUUUUUCAGUCAUACUAUUCUUUUUGUACUAUCUGUUUUUUUAUUUAGCUUGGCAUUGUGGUCGAGAUGUGGAUGUGAGUUUUUUUUUUGCUGAAAAGAAACCCAUUGUGAUUUGAGUUUUUUUUUUUUUUUUUUUUUUUUUGCAGACAAAACACCCAAUAUGAUUAAUUUCAGUAUAUAUAUAUUUUCAUGUUAGGCAUAUUGUUGAUGUUGAAAUUUUUGUGACUCAUUUGAAAAGCAUUAGGUAGAAUUUCUUAAUUGUAAUGAUAUUAUGAGCUCUGACAUUGAGUUCAUCUUCAUCGGAAUUGUUGUAGUAUAUUGAAGUUUGAUAUGGUAUUUAG